rnacentral:rRNA from 1 species
UUAAGCGAAUAAGCGUACACGGUGGAUGCCUAGGCAAUCAGAGGCGAUGAAGGACGUGCUAAUCUGCGAAAAGCGUCGGUAAGGUGAUAUGAACCGUUAUACCCGACGAUAUCCGAAUGGGGAAACCCAGUAUCCAAUGGAUACUAUCAUUAACUGAAUCCAUAGGUUAAUGAGGCGAACCGGGAGAACUGAAACAUCUCAGUACCCCGAGGAAAAGAAAUCAACCGAGAUUCCCCUAGUAGCGGCGAGCGAACGGGGAGCAGCCCAGAGUCUUAAUCAAUAACAGUGUCAGGAGAACGGUCUGGAAAGUCCGGCAGUAAAGGGUGAUAGCCCCGUAUCUGAAGAUGCUGUUAUUGUGAACUCGACGAGUAGGGCGGGACACGUGUUAUCCUGUCUGAAUAUGGGGGGACCAUCCUCCAAGGCUAAAUACUCCUGAUUGACCGAUAGUGAACCAGUACCGUGAGGGAAAGGCGAAAAGAACCCCGGCGAGGGGAGUGAAAAAGAACCUGAAACCGUGUACGUACAAGCAGUAGGAGCCUCUUUAUGGGGUGACUGCGUACCUUUUGUAUAAUGGGUCAGCGACUUAUAUUCUGUAGCAAGGUUAACCGUAUAGGGGAGCCGUAGGGAAACCGAGUCUUAACUGGGCGAAUGAGUUGCAGGGUAUAGACCCGAAACCCGGUGAUCUAUCCAUGGGCAGGUUGAAGGUUGGGUAACACUAACUGGAGGACCGAACCGACUAAUGUUGAAAAAUUAGCGGAUGACUUGUGGAUGGGGGUGAAAGGCCAAUCAAACCGGGAGAUAGCUGGUUCUCCCCGAAAGCUAUUUAGGUAGCGCCUCGUGAACUCAUCUUCGGGGGUAGAGCACUGUUUCGACUAGGGGGUCAUCCCGACUUACCAACUCGAUGCAAACUGCGAAUACCGAAGAAUGUUAUCACGGGAGACACACGGCGGGUGCUAACGUCCGUCGUGAAGAGGGAAACAACCCAGACCGCCAGCUAAGGUCCCAAAGUCAUGGUUAAGUGGGAAACGAAGUGGGAAGGCUCAGACAGCCAGGAUGUUGGCUUAGAAGCAGCCAUCAUUUAAAGAAAGCGUAAUAGCUCACUGGUCGAGUCGGCCCGCGCGGAAGAUGUAACGGGGCUAAACCAUGCACCGAAGCUGCGGCAGCGACACAAAGUGUUGUUGGGUAGGGGAGCGUUCUGUAAGCCUGCGAAGGUGUACUGUGAGGUAUGCUGGAGGUAUCAGAAGUGCGAAUGCUGACAUAAGUAACGAUAAUGCGGGUGAAAAACCCGCACGCCGGAAGACCAAGGGUUCCUGUCCAACGUUAAUCGGGGCAGGGUGAGUCGACCCCUAAGGCGAGGCUGAAAAGCGUAGUCGAUGGGAAACGGGUUAAUAUUCCCGUACUGGUGGUAACUGCGAUGGGGGAACGGAGAAGGCUAGGUUGUCCGGGCGACGGUCGUCCCGGUUCAAGCAGGUAGGCAGAGUGAUUAGGCAAAUCCGGUCACUUAAUGCUGAGAUGUGAUGACGAACCACCAAGGUGGUGAAGCAAUUGAUGCCCCGCUUCCAGGAAAAGCCUCUAAGCUUCAGGUUACCAACAAUCGUACCCCAAACCGACACAGGUGGUCAGGUAGAGAAUACUCAGGCGCUUGAGAGAACUCGGGUGAAGGAACUAGGCAAAAUGGUGCCGUAACUUCGGGAGAAGGCACGCUGGCGGUAGGUAAAGUCCCUCGCGGACAGAGCUGAAGCCAGUCGAAGAUACCAGCUGGCUGCAACUGUUUAUUAAAAACACAGCACUGUGCAAACACGAAAGUGGACGUAUACGGUGUGACGCCUGCCCGGUGCUGGAAGGUUAAUUGAUGGGGUUAGCGUAAGCGAAGCUCCUGAUCGAAGCCCCAGUAAACGGCGGCCGUAACUAUAACGGUCCUAAGGUAGCGAAAUUCCUUGUCGGGUAAGUUCCGACCUGCACGAAUGGCGUAAUGAUGGCCAGGCUGUCUCCACCCGAGACUCAGUGAAAUUGAACUCGCUGUGAAGAUGCAGUGUACCCGCGGCAAGACGGAAAGACCCCGUGAACCUUUACUAUAGCUUGACACUGAACAUUGAGCCUUGAUGUGUAGGAUAGGUGGGAGGCUUUGAAGUGUGGACGCCAGUCUGCAUGGAGCCAACCUUGAAAUACCACCCUUUAACGUUUGAUGUUCUAACCUAGGCCCAUAAACUGGGUCGGGGACCGUGUCUGGUGGGUAGUUUGACUGGGGCGGUCUCCUCCUAAAGAGUAACGGAGGAGCACGAAGGUUGGCUAAGCAUGGUCGGACAUCAUGCGGUUAGUGCAAAGGCAUAAGCCAGCUUGACUGCGAGAGUGACGGCUCGAGCAGGUACGAAAGUAGGUCUUAGUGAUCCGGUGGUUCUGAAUGGAAGGGCCAUCGCUCAACGGAUAAAAGGUACUCCGGGGAUAACAGGCUGAUACCGCCCAAGAGUUCAUAUCGACGGCGGUGUUUGGCACCUCGAUGUCGGCUCAUCACAUCCUGGGGCUGAAGUAGGUCCCAAGGGUAUGGCUGUUCGCCAUUUAAAGUGGUACGCGAGCUGGGUUUAGAACGUCGUGAGACAGUUCGGUCCCUAUCUGCCGUGGGCGUUGGAAGAUUGAGAGGGGUUGCUCCUAGUACGAGAGGACCGGAGUGAACGCACCACUGGUGUUCGGGUUGUCAUGCCAAUGGCAUUGCCCGGUAGCUAAGUGCGGAAGAGAUAACCGCUGAAAGCAUCUAAGCGGGAAACUUGCCUCGAGAUGAGUCUUCCCUGUCGCUUUAAGCGACCUAAAGGAACGUUUAAGACUAAGACGUUGAUAGGCUGGGUGUGUAAGCGUAGCGAUACGUUGAGCUAACCAGUACUAAUGAACCGUGAGGCUUAACCUG